rnacentral:tRNA from 1 species
AAGGGAGACCUAAUUCGGGUAUGGGAUGAAAAAAAAGUAGUCCCUACCAAGAAUCAAUCCCAAAAGGUCGGAGCGAGGCGAAAUUGGCUUUCAAACUAGGUUCUGGGUUCAUACAAGACCUGAAUCAGGAACAAGGGCUAUUAGCUCAGGUGGUUAGAGCGCACCCCUGAUAAGGGUGAGGUCCCUGGUUCGAGUCCAGGAUGGCCCACCUGCACAGGUGGCAAAAACAAAGAAGCGAGGAAUCAGCACCUUAUCUUACUUAUACAGUAAGAGAGAAUGCUGGCUCUGAGUUCAGAGUCCAGAGGAACCUUGAAAACUGCAUAGAGCUAGGUGAAAAAGCCAAAAAAGAAGACCGCAAGGUCAAGCUAAUAAGGGCUAACGGU